rnacentral:rRNA from 1 species
GAUGAACGCUGGCGGCGUGCCUAAUACAUGCAAGUCGAACGCUGGAGCUCUAGCUUGCUAGAUCGAAGGAGUGGCGAACGGGUGAGUAAUACAUAAGCAACCUACCCACGAAGAUUGGGAUAAUCUCUGGAAACGGGGACUAAUACCGGAUAGGUAAUCGGAAGGCAUCUUCUGGUUAUUAAAGGUUAAAAACACUGGUGGAUGGGCUUAUGGCGCAUUAGUUAGUUGGUGAGGUAACGGCCCACCAAGACGAUGAUGCGUAGCCGGCCUGAGAGGGUGAACGGCCACAUUGGGACUGAGACACGGCCCAGACUCCUACGGGAGGCAGCAGUAGGGAAUUUUCGGCAAUGGGGGCAACCCUGACCGAGCAACGCCGCGUGAGUGAAGACGGCCUUCGGGUUGUAAAGCUCUGUUGUAAGGGAAGAACGGUAGAUAGAGAAUAUCUAAGUGACGGUACCUUACCAGAAAGCCACGGCUAACUACGUG